AACAAUCCUCCUGAUAAUAUGUUAAUAAUUCCUUUCAUAAAAUCUCACUUACUCCUAGCUCUAGAUAAAGAAACACAAACGCGAUGUGGGGAGGAAAGAAAUCCGACCUCUGUCCGGUCAUUGUUGCGCACAAGAGAAAGAAGAACGACAUCAUUCUCUUCCCCUUGAUACCCAUCUACAGUCGCGACUUUAAUAAAAUGUUUUUCUCUAUUAAGAGACUCACUUAACAAUCGCUCUAUUAGAUCCUUUUGAGCAGCAUAAAACGUUAGGCAGGUAAUUUUUUGAGGUUCAACGCCAUUAUUAAUGAGAUAGACUGCAAAUUGAACUAACAUCUGAGCUUCGAAUAAAUUAAUUUUCGAAGCAAAGCCAUCAUUGUCUUCAAUACGAGAAUGAGUUAAAAAGAAUCUCCUAAUUUCGCCCAUUCCCGGAAUACUAGGCCAAUACUUGGUAAUUUCAUAAUCCGAUAAAUCUUCGUAAACAGAACUCACUAAUCUUCGAAUCUGGGGAUGCAUUCCUAAGGUCUGUUAGUAGGAAAUUGUAUUUAAAAUUACUUACUUCUUUGCAUUGUCAACCGAGUAUAUUCCAUAUCAUUUUCAACUAAUCGUUCAAACAUAGAUAUUGAUAAAUUAAAUGGAUCUUGUCGUAAUGCAUAAGUUGAACAACCUGGUCUAAGUUGUUUGUGAUCACCGAUAAGAACCAAUUGUUCUAAAGAAGGGAAAACAGCUGGAAUAAUCGGUCCUUCUAACACAUCUGCUGCUUCCUCGAUAAAGCAAAUUUUUGGAUUUAUCCUUUCUAAUAUAUCACGAUACUUAUUUAAUCCAGUUGUGGUCAUUCCAAUUACGUUCGCUCCACGCAAAAGAAUGGCUGCGCGUUUGUUUGAAAAACCAAUACGCUCGCGGUCUACUUUCAGAUAAAAUCUAUAGAGACGAUUGAGUUCUUUUUCGGCAGCUGCAUAUGCCGAUUCUAACCAGCGACAGUAAAUGAUUCCUCUACUAUACUCUGGUAUAUCCCAAAUAUUUGGAAUAGUGAGAAGGGUAUCAAUCUCCUUUUCAUGAAGUGUUGUUAGCUUUGAAAAUAGAUAUUUGCAUCUUAAGUUAAUAAAUUUCCCUCUCAAUUCCUCUUCCAUUAAAGCACCACUGUCUUCUGCUUCUUUCUGAAUUUCUUCCAGCUUUUCUGGAUCAAUUUGUAGUUCCUCCUCAAAACCAUCCGUAAUUUCUGAUGGAGUGAU